AAAGUUUAUAGAAAUUUUUCUGGACUUCGGCACGGAGACACACGAGAUAUAUACUUAGAUCGUACUAAUAAAGAGAGAGGUGUUCUGAGGAAGGCCAGACACCGCUCGUACGAAUGCAAGAUACAUGUUCAUUUCGCGACUUCGUACAACUUGGUGAGAAUUAAAGAACGAGGGUUGAGAUAUGCAACUCGCACAACAAGAUGUGGACGAACAUCUGCGAAAGCAACGAAACGCAAAGUUUCUAAUACAAGAAGUGUCAGAAAUAUAUGAUCUCUCCGUGGUCUAUCCUCAGUAUCUAUGUCCACGAUGUUACAGUGGAACAUUACGAUUUGAGGAGAAAGGCCCCUAAUAAAAGUGUGGAGAGAUCAAAUUAAUUCUAAGUUUGAGAGUGUGAAUGAGGUUUAACAUCACACUUAUAAA